CUGCACAGCAGUGAAGACCCAGCCAAACACAAAUAAGCAAAUACAAUUAUUUUUUAAUGUUUUAUUUUGUGAGUCUGUUUUUUAUGUAUGUAUUAUUUACGUGGAAAGUAUUAUAAACCUAUUACCAUACAGUACUAUAUAACCAGUUGUCUUAGCUGGGUACCUAGGCUAACUUUAUUGGACUUACGAACGCAGUCUCAGAACGAAACUCAUUCGUAUAAGUAGGGGACUCACUGUAUAAACAAAUGGCAGGUUAUGUGCCAAUAAAACUUCAUUUAUGGACUCUGAAACCUGGAUUUUAUAUAUAACUGUCACACGUCUUUUGAUUCUCCCCUGACAAUUAACACAUGCUGUUAGCUUGUGGGCCGUAGGAGAGCAGGCGGCAACCCCGCAGGCCAGCCCUGGGUGCCAGGCCAGCCACUUCUCAUCCAUCCUGUUGAACGCCGUCAAACGGCUGGAUGGGUUAGGGCUUCUUAUCAUCCCCAUCUGUCAGAUGAGGACACUGAGGCUCAGAGAGUUUACGUAACUCACUCAGGAAGCACAGGCUUCGGGACUUGAACCCAUCCCCAAGCUUGUUUGCUUUCCUGAAAGACAAGCCAGCUGGGUGAGUUUAAAUUGUCCAGGAAGGAAAAGGUGCUGGUGGGGAGCAGAAAGAGGUCCCUGGGGGCAUGAGGUGGUGAUGGGGGAGGCGCUUUGCUCGAAUGCACUGCCGUGCAGGGUGGGUGGGGAGCGACUGGUUUCCUCCAGAGAAAGAAUUCCCAGAUCCAGAACAGCUGGUGGCCCUUGCAUUGUUUUGCCCUCCCAGGUUCUCUUAAUUAUAACCAAUUUACCACCCUCAGCAAUGCCUUGUUCUCCUCUUGCUAAUACCCAUGAGUUAGAACCAUGACUCAGACUCCUGGCCAACCACUGGGCUAAAAUCCCUUCUCUUUCCCACGUGGGGAGCCCCAGUCUCUUAGAAACUGGCCUUCUCAGUCCCGCGAGGCAGCCAGGGCUGCCCUUUUGCACGUGGCCUUGCUUGACUGAGCUCUGCCAUCAAAUCUCUUAGCCUAGGGUCUCAGCAAAGAAUCUGUUUCCCUUUCUCCAACUCCAUGCCUCCCCAGCUGGCUCUCAGGGCAGGAAACUUACUUCACAGGUGGCCCUUGGCCCUUCGCCACUUCUCCAUCCCCACUGAGUCAUUUGCAACUUGGGCCCAAGGCUUGGGAGCCCUCCACCCCAGAAACACACUCGGGGCCGUACCUCUGUCUUGUUUGGGGUGACAGGGACCAGAAGCUGAACCUGAGGAAGGCAGCGCCUGAGGGGUACAGGGAGGAGACGGGCUUGCUGCCACACCUAUGUAGGUAACCUUAGCCAAACCACAGGGCUUCACGGGGGAAGCCGUGACUCCUCAUCAGAGGAGCAUGGAGACCAUGAGCUCUGGACUUGUGGGGGCCAGGUUCCAUGCGGGGUCUACUAUGGAACCUGCUCGCAGACCUCAGGCAAAUUACCUUUCUAACCUCAGUUGACUCAUCUGUAAAACAGGUCUAACAGUAGUUUCUCAGAGAGUUGUUGUGAAGGUUAAAUACCGUAAUAAAGGUCAAGUAUUCAGCUCUGGCAGUAAACUAAGGUGGUGACACUCUAACCACACAGGUCUGGAGACAGUCAGCACGUCGAAGGCCUGGUUCACAGUCCUGACUCUGCAAACAGGACCUGACUCACACGGUUCUGCAGCCUGACCUCCCGGGGACCACCGAGAGCAGGGGGACCUCAGGAGUUCUUGGAUUCUCAAACUGUCUACCCAGAAGGCGAGUCCUCUGAGCCCUGACCCCACGGGACCCAACAGCAGAAAGAUCUUUACUUAAGAACAUCCUCUUUGUGUUCUUAUAAAAAGAACACAUUGCAUUAGCAGGGAAACUGGAGCCCAGAAGGCAGAAUUCAUGCCCCCAUGUUGCCACCAGGACCUCACCUCCACAGUCCAUGCCCUUCACAUGACUCCAUGGAGCUUCUUGAAAAGACUGAAGCUGGUGGCAAGCACUGGACGUGGAAAAGGGGGCAAAAGCUGAUCUUCCAAAUUGCUUGGGUCUUUGGUCUUAGGUGGAGGGCAUCACCCAGUCUAAGGGUGUUUCCUUCUGAUGCAGAGUUGGCCAUGGACUGCUGCCAUCUUUAGCUCCAGCAUCAUGUGCAUUCAAGGCACCCUUGGUGUCAACGAACAGUGUUGGGAGCCAGUGUGUGUAGAGGGUCUCCAGGUUUUUUAUGGGUGGGACCCAGGAAAGUAGUCCUUCACUGUACUUCAUUUCCUCCCACAUCCUAUUGGCCAUCACUAGUCACAUGGGCUCAGCUGGAUGCAAGGUCUUCUGGGAAAUGUAGUCCUGCAGGAGAGGCAGCAUGGGACAUGAAAUAGGUCCAUUGAAGGCACUGUUUCUGCCACAACUAUUCAAAAAUCCCACAGUCGUAUCAGGGCCUGAAAUGCCUCAAGAUCUGAGGGAGGUCCAGGGUGAGUGCUGCUCAGCAUGUAGGAGGAGCAACAGAGGGUGAGGCUGGAGAAGUGGGCUGGCCCAGCGUGAGAAACACCAGCGGAAAAGUAGGAAGGAGAGAGGAUCCUGAUUUGCAGUCAGGCCCUUGUGGCUCAAGUCCCUGACAUCAGUCCAGCCACAGCAGGAGAGGGACAGGAUGGUGCCAGAGCGAGAGGCAGAAUCUUCCAGAUGAAUGUUAAGGGAAACCCAAGAGCCCUGAAGAUGUUCAGAGGAGGCCCCACCAGCCAAGAGUCCUGGCCGGCUUUCCAGAAAAGAAGAGGAUGCAAGGGAGAGCUGGAAGAGAGGAGAGGAGAGAAGCAAGCACAGGGCGCCAGGGAGGGAGUUCUGAGACAACAGAGACUGGUGCCAGCAGGGCCCGCUUCCCGUGAAAGCUGACUGCGGGGCCGCAGGGCCGCACGUGCAGAAGGGCCCCAAGCUCUGCUCUGCUGGCACCAUCUUGAAAUUCCUAAUAAUUUUCAAAGGAGCCCCACUUUUUCAUUGUGCAUUGAGCCCCACAAAAUUGUGUAGCAGCCCUAUGUCCAGCGGUAUGGAUGUGAUGACCCUGCCUCCAGGGCAGAGGUGCUGCUGACAGAGGCUACUUUCCAGCCUGAUCGUACAGCAAGGCAACAAGAAAUGGAACUGGAGGCAGCUGUGGGGGGCUGGGGUGCGGCCAGCUCAGGUGUGUCUUGUUACUUAACAUUCUGAGGUAUAAACAUUUAGGAGGGACUGGUUUCAGAUUCUACCCAUCGGGAGGAAAAAGAUGUUAGCUGGUGAGAGAUUUUUUUUUUUAAUUGAGAAUGAUGAACUCAGUAAGAGAUGUAAUUUUUUGUUUAAAUAAGAUCCUCAUAUUUUAUUUUAUUUAUUUAUUUUGGCUCUGCGGCACGUGGGAUCUUAGUUCCCCACCCAGGAAUGGAACCUGGCCUCAUUCCCACACACACAUUAGAAACACAGAGUCUUAACCACUGAACUGCCAGAAAAAUCCUGAAAUGUGAUGUUGAAGACGACAGACAAUGGAUGAAGUCCAGGCGCCCAAAUGGGGAAAUGGGGGCAUUGGAUCGGAGCAAGGUCCAUCCUAAUCUUAGGAGUCUCUGCCUUCAUAUAACAAGAGACAUUCAAGGAGGCCUACCCGUACAGUUUUUUAAAACCAGUCCUGAUGUUGGUGACAUUGCAAAAGCAGGAAGCAGGUUAACUAAUCCAAAA